UUCCCUGUAGUGAGGGGGCGGCCCCCCCUCCCUCUCCUCUCCCAUCCCGCAAACUUUCCCCGUAGUGUGGGGUCGUUACCCUGGAAGCCGUUUGCGGAGUCCCGUCGCUCGGCGCCUCUCACCCUCCCACUGACCUUCACCGCCUCCUCCAGUUUCCCUCCCACCUUCCUCCUCCAUCUUCCUUGUACUCCUGAACUGGCCACAGCUGCUCUUCCCAAGUCUCCAAGUUUCCAGGUUCCCUCGGUGUUGCUGCUUCCUAGUCCUGAAGUUUCCAGGUUCCCUCGGUGUUGCUGCUUCCUAGUCCUGAAGUUUCCAGGUUCCCUCGGUGUCGCUGCUUCCUAGUCCUGAAGUUUCCAGGUUCCCUCGGUGUUGCUGCUUCCUAGUCCUGAAGUUUCCAGGUUCCCUCGGUGUUGCUGCUUCCUAGUCCUGAAGUUUCCAGGUUCCCUCGGGGUCAACUUCCUCGGCUUACAAUUGAGAGACCCGGGUUCAAUGCCCGUGUUGGACAGAAUCGCUUGGGCACUUUUCUUUUCACCUGAUGUCUCUGUUAACCUAGAAGUUAAAUAGGUACCCAAAAUGUGCCAAUUUGUGUGGGUUUUGUCCUUGGAAAGGUCAGUAGUUGUUCUGGAGGACCUCUCUGUGACCUCUCGAGUUUACCUCUGUGACCUCUCGAGUUUACCUCUGUGACCUCUCGAGUUUACCUCUAUGACCGCUCGAGUUUACAUCUAUGACCGCUCGAGUUUACCUCUAUGACCGCUCGAGUUUACCUCUAUGCCCGCUCGAGUUUACCUCUAUGACCGCUCGAGUUUACCUCUAUGACCGCUCGAGUUUACCUAUAUGACCGCUCGAGUUUACCUAUAUGACCGCUCGAGUUUACCUCUAUGACCUCUCAUUGUGUUGUUUGUGCACUUGCCAAACAUGUCGUGCUCGUCAGCUUGGUCAGUGCUACACAAGAUCUUGUAUGUCGUGAUUGUAUCUCAUCUUCUCAUUCUCUUAUCUAUUGUAGUAAGAUCAAGCACGUUCAGCCUUCCCUUGUACUCCAAUAUUUGAGGUCUCGACCCAGUCUUGUGGCAUAUCUCUCAACUUUCUCAAGUUAACUCUUUAUAAAGAUCCAGAAAUAAACGUAUUAACGAUUUUUUUUUUGCUGUAGCUAAUUGCGAGUAGUAGUUCACUGUAUUGUAAACUGCCCCGCUGGUGUCCACUUUCAUCACCUUACACUUAUUAGCAUUAACUUCCAAUAACCAUUUCUCGAACCAACCUUGUAACCUGUCUAGGUGGUGCAGGGGAAAGCGCCAAGCCAUUACGACUAUAUAGCACUGGAAAGGGAUCGGGACAUGAAUUCUAUAGCCACUUAUCUUUGGAUGCGAUUCCAUCAUGGAGGCCCAGAAAGGGGUGGGAGGGGGUAGCAAGUUUGCCUGGAAGGUAUUCUUGGCUGUGGGAUCAUCCAUAUAACCCCAGUCACCUCUUCUUGUACGUCUCCUGAAACAUCGUCCACUUGGACAGUCGGGGAUUGAACGCCGACCUGCAUGAAGCUCUACCGUCGCUCUACCGUCCAGCCCAAGUUGUUAGAGGUGAAAGUCAACGUGUUCCAAUGUUAAUAUCUCCAACAAGUCGAGCUUUCCCUGUCUCCAGGAAACUUUACUAGUUUCUGAGGAAGAGGGCAGAAGCGUGACAAGAAUUUCCCUGUCCACUACCAGCUGUCGGAGGUAUUAAGAGUCAGGAAACGUGUUCUGGUUCCAUGUCAGGUCCCAGGUGUUGGGACAGUCAGGUGUUGAGGUCCCAGGUGUUGGGACAGUCAGGUGUUGAGGUCCCAGGUGUUGGGACAGUCAGGUGUUGAGGCCACAGUUGUUGGGACAGUCAGGUGUUGAGGCCACAGGUGUUGGGACAGUCAGGUGUUGAGGCCACAGGUGUUGGGACAGUCUGGUGUUGAGGCCCCAGUUGUUGGGACAGUCAGGUGCUGAGGCCCCAGGUGUUGGGACAGUCAGGUGUUGAGGCCCCAGGUGUUGGAACAGUCAGGUGUUGAGGCCCCAGGUGUUGGGACAGUCUGAUGUUGAGGCCCCAGGUGUUGGGACAGUCUGGUGUUGAGGCCCCAGGUGUUGGGACAGUCUGGUGUUGAGGCCCCAGUUGUUGGGACAGUCUGGUGUUGAGGCCACAGUUGUUGGGACAGUCUGGUGUUGAGGCCCCAGUUGUUGGGACAGUCUGGUGUUGAGGCCACAGGUGUUGGGACAGUCAGGUGUUGAGGCCACAGGUGUUGGGACAGUCAGGUGUUGAGGCCACAGGUGUUGGGACAGUCAGGUGUUGAGGCCACAGGUGUUGGGACAGUCAGGUGCUGAGGCCCCAGGUGUUGGGACAGUCAGGUGUUGAGGCCCCAGGUGUUGGAACAGUCAGGUGUUGAGGCCCCAGGUGUUGGGACAGUCUGAUGUUGAGGCCCCAGUUGUUGGGACAGUCUGGUGUUGAGGCCCCAGUUGUUGGGACAGUCUGGUGUUGAGGCCCCAGUUGUUGGGACAGUCUGGUGUUGAGGCCCCAGUUGUUGGGACAGUCUG